ACAUCAAUCAUCCAAACAUUGUAGGGACCUGUCCCAUGUUCUUUGUCAUUCCCAGUAUGAGAUGGAGACAUUUUAUAACACCCUCAGUCACUCUGAAGACAAGGAAUAGGAAGAAACAGACUUGGAGUAGAACACACUGCCAACCAAGUGUCUCCUUUUCCAUUUGGCAACCAGGAACUUGUGGCCAGAGGUGGGAGGCACCUGGGCAUCAGCUUCCACCAAGAAUAACAUAAAAGACGUUACUGUUUCAGCAAAUAAAUUAACAUCAUCAUGAAUUUGUGAUUCAUUAUUAUGAAUCACAAAUGUUGCAAAUUCGUGACCAUAUUCAGAGAUUGAGUGUCUCAGAGGGAAUAUUGCAGAAAUCGCAGCCAGGCUGUGCAAAACUGUGGGAUGACUGAGCAGUGGACUUGCACUCUAAAACAGCCCUUCUCCCUUCCUCUGCCCCUGCUCCUUUCCCCAGCCCCUGCUCCCUUCCCCAGCCCCUGCUCCCUUCCCCAGCCCCCGCUCAGGUUGGAUUUCCAUUGACACUUCAAGCCUGGAUGUAAUAAAUCAACUGCUGGU
ensembl:lincRNA